UACAGAGGGUGCGAGCGUUGUUCGGAAUUACUGGGCGUAAAGCGUGCGUAGACGGUUGCGUAAGUCAGAUGUGAAAGCCCCGGGCUCAACCUGGGAAUUGCAUUUGAGACUGCGUAGCUAGGGUGCGGAAGAGGGAAGCGGAAUUUCCGGUGUAGCGGUGAAAUGCGUAGAUAUCGGAAGGAACAUCAGUGGCGAAAGCGACUUCCUGGACCAGUACCGACGUUCAGGCACGAAAGCGUGGGGAGCAAACAGG
rnacentral:rRNA from 1 species